rnacentral:rRNA from 1 species
AUGAAGCAAAUACCGCCUAAGCACAUUAUGAAGAGAUGGACGAGGGAUGCCCGUGACGUGCUGCCAUCUCACUUGGCCCAAUACCAGAAGGACCAGAUGUACAAACAGCCAUUUUCAUACAUGCAUUUCAACAAACUCAUGAAUGCAAUGGAGUUGGUGCGUCUUGGAGACGCGAGUGUGGAUGCGUACAACAAACUCAUGUCCCUGUUCAAGGCGAAUAUGCAGGAGAUGCAGCCAUUCGCCGAAGUUCGCGAUGGGCUAGGUUUGGAAGAUCGAGUACCAGAUAAUGGAAUUGUCGUAGAUCAGCUGGAAAUCAGUGAGGUCGUCGAGCAAGGUUUAAUACAGGCACAGCAGGCAGAAUUUAGGGAUUGUCACAAUAUCUCUGCUUCAGGAUCGAUUAAUACACUAGCGGGGUUGUCUGAUCCGGCUAAAAGAAACAAAGCUGGCCGUCUAACGACCGGGAGGGAGAAAGCACCAUCUGAUGGUCUGAGCAAGCAGCCAAGAUUAUGCACUAUCUGCCGGAAGCAAGGUCAUAAGCGAACGACGUGCCCCGAUAGGGGCGACGCUCCAAAGCAACCUAGAAGGCCCGGAAGGUGCAAAAAUUGUGGUGUCGAAGGUCAUCGCAGAAACAACUGCACAAAGCCCCUAGAUAUGAGGAUGCCAGACCUUCAGAUUUCCUGGUAUGAUGAGUUGGUAGUUGAUGGCUGUUCCCGGGAUUUGUUUCCUGGCCAGACUGAGUACAAGUUGUGA